rnacentral:tRNA from 1 species
UUUUUUUUAGUGUUUUAUGCAUUUGAAAUUUUGAUUUUCAAGGUAAAGAAAAGUCUUUAUAAGUGGA